CCUCCAUUUCUUGGCAUGCCGGGUGUUGUCCGUACCCCUGUGUGUAAUGUUCGGAGGUAGAACAUUUCCGGUGCUAUGUCUUCGGUGCCAGCUCUUCUCCUGGGCUGGUUCUAUCCUCAAUCACCGGUACAAGC